GGCAGAUACCUCAGUUGGUUAGAGCAUGGUGUUGAUAACACCAAGGUUGUGGGUUCAAUCCCCGUAUGAACCA